UUGGCCCUGAAUCAAGGCUGGCGGCUUGCCGUAGCCGCUAGUUUCAAACAGGAGCCCACAUCAAUGCCUUCCUAUGGUCUGUUGGCUGUUCUGUAGUUUCCAGAUGGCGCAGUCAAUUCAGUUGGAAGCAACAACG